rnacentral:ncRNA from 1 species
CGUGGGGGAGCCGGCGUCGCCGGCUGAGAGGUCCGAGGCGGACGACCCCUGGAACCUGAUCCGGAUGAUGCCGGCGUAGGGAUGCGUGAAA